CCUACGGGGUGCAGCAGUGGGGAAUAUUGGACAAUGGGCGAAAGCCUGAUCCAGCCAUGCCGCGUGUGUGAAGAAGGCCUUCGGGUUGUAAAGCACUUUCAGUGGGGAAGAAAGCCUUGGGGCUAAUACCCUCGAGGAAGGACAUCACCCACAGAAGAAGCACCGGCUAACUCCGUGCCAGCAGCCGCGGUAAUACGGAGGGUGCGAGCGUUAAUCGGAAUUACUGGGCGUAAAGCGUGCGUAGGCGGUCUGAUAAGCCGGUUGUGAAAGCCCCGGGCUCAACCUGGGAACGGCAUCCGGAACUGUCAGGCUAGAGUGCAGGAGAGGAAGGUAGAAUUCCCGGUGUAGCGGUGAAAUGCGUAGAGAUCGGGAGGAAUACCAGUGGCGAAGGCGGCCUUCUGGACUGACACUGACGCUGAGGUGCGAAAGCGUGGGUAGCAAACAGGAUUAGAUACCCGUGUAGUC
rnacentral:rRNA from 1 species